GACGAACGCUGGCGGCGUGCCUAAUACAUGCAAGUCGAACGAGUGGCGGACGGGUGAUUAAUGUCUGGGAAACUGCCCGAUGGAUGGGGAUAACUACUGGAAACGGUAGCUAAUACCGCCUACCAUCUGAUUUGCCCAGAUGGGAUUAGCUAGUGGGGGGGGUAACGGCUCCCCUAGGCGACGAUCCCUUGCUGGUCUGAGAGGAUGACCAGCCAAACUGGAACUGAGAAACGGUCCAGACGCAUACGGGAGGCAGCAGUGGGGAAUAUUGCACAAUGGGCGAAAGCCUGAUGCAGCCAUGCCGCGUGUAUGAAGAAGGCCUUCGGGUUGUAAAGUACUUUCAGCGAGGAGGCGUUACUCGCAGAAGAAGCACCGGCUAACUCCGUGCCAGCAGCCGCGGUAAUAC
rnacentral:rRNA from 1 species